GACGUAGGAGACAAACGUUAUCCGGAGUUACUGGGCGUAAAGGGCGUGCAGGUGGUCGGUUAAGUCUGACGUGAAAGCUCUCGGCUAAACCGGGAGAGGUCGUUGGAUACUGGCGGACUAGAGGACGGUAGAGGCGAGUGGAAUUCCGGGUGUAGUGGUGAAAUGCGUAGAGAUCCGGAGGAACACCAGUGGCGAAGGCGACUCGCUGGGCCGUACCUGACACUCAAACGCGACAGCAUGGGGAGCGAACGGG
rnacentral:rRNA from 1 species